AGAGAGUGACUCAGACCCGAGGGCGAACCAGAAGCUGCCCGGAGAUUCCCACUGUAUGGCUUCCUGCAGGAUUCAGCUGUGGAGACUGAAGCCGGAGGGCCUGGGGGGAGCCGCAGGAAGCGGGUGGGCGGGGGCCGUCUGCCCCUGGACACUCAGGACAGCCUGGCUCACCACGGGGGAGGAGAAGCCAAUGGAGACAGCGGGGACCAAGAGGGAGGGGGUGGAUGGGGAGCCUGGGGAGGAGCGGAGGGACCCAGGUCCCCUGCCUUACAGGACGACCAGCACAGGUUCCAGGUCUCCAGCCAGCUACAGGGCUUCUUAACACACAGCACUCCCUGCUUCGAGCCUUCCGGGAGGCCCCCAAUCCAGGAUCAAGACCCAGCCCCGUCACGGCCUGGCUCACGAGGCCCCACUUCAACUGCCCCUGACCUCUCUGCGCCCCCUGCUCCCGCCAGCCCUGCCGGCCGCUGCCCUGGAGAAGGAGCUGCAGAUGGAUCCCCAGUGAGUAGGAGGCAGCCGUGUGAGUCAGGCAGCGGAGGGAACGGGCUGCAUCGCGGAGAGGAGGUGCGAAGCAGCGCGCCGUUUCCGGGCUCUGGAAGCCGAGCUGCCGAGGCGUAAGCUGGGAGGUGGACAUGACGGGGGAGUGGGGAAGGGCAGGCGGCGGGACGGCCACACAGCGGAAUAUUAUGCAACUUAUAAAAAAUUUAAUUACCUGCCUACCAAUAGACUUAAAGGGAUUUCUAUAAGGUAUUAUUGGGUGAGAAAAGCAAUUUGGAGAUAAGAAUGUAACAUACGAUCCCAUUUUUAUAAAACAAUGGGCAAAAAAAUC
rnacentral:lncRNA from 1 species